GGGUCUCGCGGGAGGCGGUGCUUCCGCGGGAACAUUGCCUCUUAAGUGCGCCUCGGGGAGGCCGCGCUGGCCGGGGGCCGCGCAUGCGCACAGCGCCGGGCCGAGGGCCGCCUCCUGCCGUGAGGCAUCUGUUACUUAAGAAUGGAAGAGGACACAGAUUUUAGACUCAGGUCUAGUUCUUUGUGUUUCAUUACUGAUCAUGUUGGAUUUCAUGGCACUAUAAAAAGUUCCCCCUGUGACUUUGUUGUAAUUGAGAUUGAUGAACAGGGACAGUUAGUUAAUAAGGCCACUGAUGAAACUGUUUGCAUGAUUAGGAAAGCAGUACCUGAGCCAGAUAAUUUCACAAACACCAAAAAAACAAAACUAGAUCUUCAAAAUCUGCCCUUUGAAGAGGGAAGCAAACAGGAGGUCGAUACUUUGGCUGUGUGCUCCAACGAGGACCAAAAUCGUCAGCCUGGUUUGGAAAAGGAAGAUACCAUCAGUGAUGGAACUUCCAAAGGUGAAGAAGGAAAAGCUGAUGUGUUAGGCUCUUUGUUAGCAGAAAAAACUAAUGAUUUGCUGAAUCAGUUCGCCUGUGAUACAAAAGAGAAGUGGAAUUCUAAAACUGAGGUAAUCGGACCAUCACCUGAAUUCUCAUUAGGCAGAAUUCUUGACAAAAACCAGAGAGCUAUUUUGCAUAGUGCUGUUAGGCAGAAAUUUCCUUUCUUAAUGACUGUAGGAAAGAGCAAUGAAAUUGUUGUAAAACCAAAUCUUGAGUAUAAAGAACUCUGUCACUUGGUAUCUGAAGAAGAAGCAUUCGACUUUUUUAGAUAUUUGGAUGCCAAGAAAGAAAAGUCCACAUUUACCUUUAAACCUGAUACAAACAAAGAGCACAGAAAAGCUGUCCACCAUUUUGUCAACAAAAAGUUUGGAAAUUUUGUGGAAACCAAGUCUUUUCCUGUCCAGAAUUGCAAUGCGGAUAAUCCAAGUAUGAUUACAGUAAGAUUUCGGGAAAAAGUACACAAGCACAGGAAAAGGUCUCUUCCAGAGUUCCAGGAAAGAAAAGCCAUAUACACAGCCUUCACCUUACGAAAAGAAAAUCUGGAAAUGUUUGAAGCAGUUGGUGUUUUAGCCAUCAAACUUGGUGUGAUUCCUUCAGACUUUAGUUAUGCAGGACUUAAAGACAAGAAAGCCAUCACCUAUCAAUCAAUGGUUGUUAGAAAAGUGACUCCAGAGAGGUUGAAAAAUAUUGGAAAAGAAAUUGAAAAGAAAAGGAUGAAUCUGUUCAAUAUUCGGUCUGCCGAUGAUUUCCUUAGACUCGGUCAGCUUAAAGGAAAUCACUUUGAUAUUGUCAUCCGAAACUUAAGAAACCAGAAAAAUGAUUCUGCAAACCUGAGAGAGAGAAUUUUGGAAGCAAUAGAAAAUGUUAAGAAUAAAGGGUUUGUGAAUUAUUAUGGACCUCAGAGAUUUGGGAUGGGAAGGAAAGUUCACACAGAUCAAAUUGGAUUGGCUUUACUGAAGAGUGAAAUGGUGAAGUCUGUGAAAUUAUUUCUCACACCAGAAGAUUUGGAUGAUCCUGUAAAUAGAGCAAAGAAAUAUUUUCUUCAAACUGAGGAUGCGAGAGGCACACUUUCCCUGCUGCCUGAAUUCAGAGUCCGAGAGAGAGCGCUGCUGGAGUCCCUGCACCGCUUUGGCGUGACAGAGGACGGCUGCGUCCAGGCCUGGUUCUCUUUCCCCCACUCUAUGCGUGUGUUCUAUGUCCAUGCAUACAGCAGCAGAGUUUGGAAUGAGGCGGUAUCUUACAGGCUUGCAACCUAUGGAUCCCGAGUAGUGGAGGGUGACUUGGUCUGUUUGGAUGAAGAUGUUGAUGAGAAUUUCCCAAAUACUAAGGUUCAUCUAGUAACUAAAGAAGAGGAGGCAGCUAAUACAUAUGCGAUACGUCAGGUGGUUCUCCCCGUGCUGGGAUACAGCAUUCAGUACCCGGAGAACCGAGUGGGCCAGUGGUUCCAGGAUACACUCAGAAGAGAUGGACUACAGACGUGUAGGUUUAGAGUGCCUGCCCUGAAACUGAAUGUCCCGGGGUGCUAUAGACAGAUUUUAAAACAUCCCCAUAACCUCUCAUACCAGCUAAUGGAAGAGCAAGAUAUUGAUGGCAAAACGGAAGGUCCCCACACUGAUGGAACAACUUUGUCUCUUUCGAUCUCUUUUGAUCUUGAUGCUUCAUGUUAUGCUACAGUUUGUCUGAGGGAAGUCAUGAAGCAUGACUUUUAAAACUGAUACCCUUGGUACAGUCGUGUAUAUGUCACUCCUUAAAGGCAAGGGAGCCAAAGGACCUUCAGCAUCUCCCCUGUGUUCGGAGCUUUCUAUUAUUAUCUCCUUUAGUUAAACAACAUCCUGGUGAAGCAGGAAUUUAAUGCUGACGUUCCAGAGGACAUACAACUAGUGAGGGGCAAGAUCUGCUUUGAAGACUCCAGAGCCGGUGCUCUUUCUAGUAUCUCAUGUUUCCGUGACCUUUAUGCUGCACUAUAUGGUUACAACCUUUCUGGACUAUCAGGAGCACACAAUAUGCAACAACAGAUUUGAGAGUUAGAUUGGACUCCGAUGCCAGCUCUGAUGCUUACUGGUGACUUCUGCUUGUGACUAAGUGUUUCUGAGGCCCAAAGACUCAAGACAGCACCAACCUCAUAAGCAACAAAUAAUAGGAUUCUCUCCACUUUAUAUGUUGCUAGAGGAAGCAAACAUUUUGUCCACUUGAAAAUAUAAAUAUUUGUUUAACUGUCUCACAUCAUGAAUCAUCCUUAACCAUUUUCUGUCACUUGAAUUUGGAGGAAAUGGUAUAUAUAUUGAUUGGGAAGACCUAAGUGUUCUUUGAUUGCUGGUCAGCUUACGUAAUGAUGACAUAAGAAACAGCAUAGAGCAUUACAUGUCAGUAAUGUGGCACUUUUAUGUACUUACGUCAGUUAAACUGUUUAGGGUACAUUUCCAUAAAGAAAAAAAAAUUCAAAAGAAGGAAAAAAACUAUAUGCAAUGGAAAAUUAUUUAUGCAGUGUUUUUAUAUAUAAUGGAAGAAAUUAGAAAUAUUUUCCAAGUCCAGCACUAGAUAGCUGAAGUAAGUAAAAUGAGAUGCAUCAAAUUGACAGCAAAGCCUGUAGUUAAAAAUGAUAAUGAAGUUUUUAAGUAUGUGCAGACACGUUUCCUCUCAAAAACAGAACAUACAUCUUACAAAUGCGGUAUGUACACUGUGUGUGGCUUUUACAAUGGAAUACACUUUAGCAUGAUGAUUAAAAGCAUGGAUGUUGGGGGCUAACUCCCCCAGUGCGAGCCUUCUCCCCGCUCAGAGCAGUCUGGCCUCGGGCAGUCUCUUGCCCAGGGUGCUUUGAUGUCCACACCUGGGGGUGCGGAUGGUGAUUACCAACCUUGUAGCACUGUUGGGAGGAUUGGUUGACUAAUACAUGUAAUAAGGCAGCUUGACAAAGUGCCUGGGACCUAGUUAUUAUUCAGUGAGUGUCCACAGAUGCCAAGUCUGGAAGAGAAGACAAAGGUGUUAGUGAAGUGAGAGAUGACAGUGCUGUUCUGUCACAGUGACAGUGUUUGGGUUUCUUUUUAACAUGAAAAGUCCCCUUUUUUGUCAUUAUAUAUUUUAAUCUCAGGACAAUAAUACCAUUUUUUAAAAAUUACCUCAUUUUAAUAUUUAUUUAAAAUAAAAUAGUGCUAUAUUCAGUAGUAGAAAAAUUUAGAAAAAAUGUUUCAUUUCAUAUGAUAAAUUAUAUUUUGCAAAUGUAAUCAGAAAAUGGAUUACUGUUGAAUCUUAGAUUUCCUUUAAAUGUUGAGUAGCAGAAAUGUGACAGCAUUAGUGUGCCAUUAUUUUCUUUGCCUGUAGAUGGCACUAUAAUUUUAGGUAUCUUUAUUCACUUACUCAUUUUCAUUUAUUAAUUUCUUAGGCCAUGUGUAAGAAAGAAUCACAAAUCUUAUUUCAAGUCACCAUAAAAUGUAUUCAGGUACUGUUCAUGUGGAGAAUUAUUCUGUAUACCAGUAAUAUUUGCCAUGUUAAUGUUUUUUUCAGUUUAAGGAGGUGAAUAUGCUUCAGAGCAAACGAUGAGCAGUCACCUAGGCUUCUGCAGUUUUCCUGAGGCAUUUCAGGCCUUCGGAAGGAUAAUCUUUGGAUUAGUUUUAAUUUUCGAGGUUGCAUUUGAAACUGAGCAGUGGUGCCUCAGGAUCGCUAAGGUAAAACAAAUUGAGGACUUUUUACUAAGAUAAAAGCACUUUGAGCCUAGUAGCCGAGCUGCUCGCAGGUCACGUGCAGCCCAAGCUUCAGGUAACAUUCAUGGAGGGUCUGUCGGCCCUUGGCCUCUCCGCUCUGUAACCCCGAUGCUCCGCCUGCAGGUGGGCAGUGCUUUCCCUGUUUUCCCAGGUGAGAAACCCUCCGAGUGGUUUGCUGACCGAGUCAAGCCAAGCGGGACAGUGUGUGGCGGGUCUGCACGGUGCCUCCCAGAAUGGGAAGUGGUGUCGGUGGAGUUAAAUCCUGAGUAAUUUCGGUGUGGGUUGUCAGGAAUACUUUUAAUUAAAGAAAUGACUCUAAUCUUCUUAAGCAAUUCAUUUCCUCAGCAACUGUGAGGAACGAGCUAACUUACCCUGCCUGGGUACAUAGACUGUCUUAUUAAAGAAAAAUUUUACUCAUAGAAGGAAGUCGGGUAACUCAUGAAAGUAUUUAAAUUUAGACGUACUGGAAAAUACUACAAAAUAUAGGGGAUAUUAAGUUGUCCUUUCUGUCAUCAGCUUUCUACCCAACUCGGUUACUAAUGCUCCAGGAAAAGCUGGGGGCUCUCCUACAACUGCCUCCGCCUAUUUCUGGCAUGUUAGAGUGCUCAUUUCAUCAGGCAGUCACCUUCUAGGUGACAUACCAAGUCAAGGACUUCGGUGAUCAGCUGGAUUGCUCUAGUAGUUGGAGUCGAAUAGGAUGUCUCUUAGAGGUAUUCCACAUGUAUUUAAUAAGACAAAUUAGAGAAUUUAACAUGUUAAAUCCUUCUUACUAUUUCAAUAAUUGGGUUUAAUGUCAUCCAAGAGAGUAGAUAAAACAAUAAGUUUUAUAAGAUAUGAGUUAAUACUUAGGUCUCUGCCAAAACACUUCAGGUGACUGCUGAUACAAAUGCGGUUAUACAAGUGAGCUUCACCCUCUGCUCCAGGGAAAUCAUACAAAAGCAGUAAGGAAAAACAACAAUUGCAAACAAUAUAAUAAACACACUUAUGAAGUACAUGUAAGAGCCACCAACAGUAGCUGAGACCUGAAAAAAGUUGCACAGUAGGAAGUGGAAAAGAAGUGACAAAAGGAUUCAGUAACAACUGAUAUCAAAAGCAGCAAAAAGCAUUUUUUCUGAAGAUGACUGGCCUAGCCUAAAGAAAAAAAGUCAUUAUCUCUUUGGAUAAGACGUUGAGUAAGCAAAGCUGAUGGCAAAAACCGGGCUGAGCUUGGUCUAGGGCUAAACAAAGCAUUGCAAACAGUGAUACCUUGUAUUUGCGGAAAGCAAAAGAGGGAUCCUUGAGUGGAAGAUUGUCCUGGCCUCCCACUCCUAACCAAGAACCUCCUGCAAA